GCAGCCGCCGCGGUAAUACAGAGGGUGCGAGCGUUAAUCGGAUUUACUGGGCGUAAAGCGUGCGUAGGCGGCUUCUUAAGUCGGAUGUGAAAUCCCUGAGCUUAACUUAGGAAUUGCAUUCGAUACUGGGAAGCUAGAGUAUGGGAGAGGAUGGUAGAAUUCCAGGUGUAGCGGUGAAAUGCGUAGAGAUCUGGAGGAAUACCGAUGGCGAAGGCAGCCAUCUGGCCUAAUACUGACGCUGAGGUACGAAAGCAUGGGGAGCAAACAGGAUUAGAUACCCGAGUAGUCCCUGUCUCUUAUAC
rnacentral:rRNA from 1 species